rnacentral:rRNA from 1 species
UACGGAGGGUGCGAGCGUUGUCCGGAAUCAUUGGGCGUAAAGGGCGCGUAGGUGGCCCGGUCAGUCCGUGGUGAAAGCGCGGGGCUCAACCCUGCGUCGGCCAUGGAUACUGCCGCGGCUCGAGCACUGUAGAGGCAGGCGGAAUUCCGGGUGUAGCGGUGGAAUGCGUAGAGAUCCGGAAGAACACCGGUGGCGAAGGCGGCCUGCUGGGCAGUUAGCUGACACUGAGGCGCGACAGCGUGGGGAGCAAACAGG